rnacentral:lncRNA from 7 species
CUUUUUUCUUUCCAUAUAGGAAGAGACUUCUCAUUAUAGGGAGUGAGUCAAGCACCAAGGAACUCUCUUGUUACCAGCUUUGCAUUCUCCUAUGUGUCUAGAAGAGUCUGUUGGAAAAUGCAGGUGUUUGGGCUCCAUACAACAAGAUGGAGGCACACAAAUAUAUUCUGCAGAAGUCUGGAGUUGAAAGAUCCAUAACCCCUAACAGGAAGAUAACAAACAGUGGGAGGAAUGCAGUAUUCAGGAGCUAACUGGAAAAUUGUUCUCAUGAAAAGACUGUGUGUGUGUGCAGGGUGUAAAUGGUCAUUCUAUGCAUCGUUGUUUCUCUACCCUCAAAAACAGUUUUAAAAUACUUAAAAAUAUUUAUCUCUCAGAGCUAUGAAGUAGUGCUCUGUUGCAGUGCCAUGUAAAUUUUGGGGGCUUUUUCCUAUUGGUCUAAUAUCAACAUUUUUCACUCUCAGAAGCAAUAUACAGCUCUUAAAGCAGAAACGUUUAAACUGUGUAGCAAAAUGUACUAGUGCUCCGUGCUUAGAAGACUUAAAUGGUGCUGACUUGUAGCUAGCUGUUCUAAACAGACAGAUAUAGCAUUUACAACACCAUAAAAUUUGUGUUUGCUGGAAAUCAGGGACAAAACGAGCAGCUCUGAUUUAACAUCUGGCACAUCUUACUGGGAAAGAAUCUACACUACUCCAAACAUUGGCUUCUUAAAAAUAUUAGUAUUUGCAAAUCACCAGGUGUUUGUACAACAGUGCUAUAUCAAGCCAGGAAAAAGGUUAAGUGAAAAUAUGACUCCUUGAGUCUGAGAUUGAGAUCUCUUGUUCUUAUGUGCUUGGUUAGCUAUCAGAUCACAUAUGCAGUACACUUCUUGCACUAAAGGAAAAACAACUUUUUGAAU